rnacentral:miRNA from 1 species
AGACGAACUAAGUUUAUUGGUAUGAGCUUUCGUGUGCAUGCACACUUCUUUAGAUGCACACUUCAGAAACACACUUCAGUGUAUCUGAAGAGGUGUGCAUGCACACGAAAGCUCAUACCAAUAACAAACUUAGUUGG